rnacentral:tRNA from 1 species
GCGGGCGUAGCUCAGUUGGCAGAGCAUUAGCUUCCCAAGCUAAGGGUCGCGAGUUCGAAUCUCGUCGCCCGCUCCA